GAUGAACGCUAGCUACAGGCUUAACACAUGCAAGUCGAGGGGAAACGAUAGAGAAGGCUUGCUUUUUCUAGGCGUCGACCGGCGCACGGGUGAGUAACGCGUAUCCAACCUGCCCACCACUUGGGAAUAACCUUGCGAAAGUAAGACUAAUACCCAAUUAUAUCUCUAGAAGACAUCUGAAGGAGAUUAAAGAUUUAUCGGUGAUGGAUGGGGAUGCGUCUGAUUAGCUUGGUGGCGGGGGAACGGCCCACCAAGGCGACGAUCAGUAGGGGUUCUGAGAGGAAGGUCCCCCACAUUGGAACUGAGACACGGUCCAAACUCCUACGGGAGGCAGCAGUGAGGAAUAUUGGUAAAUGGGCGAGAGCCUGAACCAGCCAAGUAGCGUGCAGGAUGACGGCCCUAUGGGUUGUAAACUGCUUUUAUAAGGGAAUAAAGUGAGCCUCGUGAGGCUUUUUGCAUGUACCUUAUGAAUAAGGACCGGCUAAUUCCGUGCCAGCCGCCGCCGUAA
rnacentral:rRNA from 1 species